GGCCCAUUCCCACUUCCUCUCUCUUUAGAGACUAAGCAAGGACCUCUCCCAGAGGACACAAUCUCCGCACUAAGCUCUCAGGCAGCCGGGAUUGCAAGAAGGAAGAGCAGAGAAAUGAGCCUCCAGAGCGGGAUCCCAAGGGUGUCUCCAGGUGGCUGUGGGUACUGCUUGCUCUGCUGGUUGCUGUCCAAAUCUGGUGCUCAGUGGAGGCAGAGGUGUGGGCCUCGGGGGAGCAGAGGCCGCCAGUGCUGCCAGGGGCCUUUCAUUACUCAUUGCUAAUUGUGGCAAAUGGGGAUUUUAUUGCUCCCUUGGCCCUCACUGUGAGCUACAGCAGCUCCUUGACAAGGAGGUGGAAGACCAGCCUGGGAGACCCUGCCUGGCUGCUGCAUUCAGCCCUGCACACGAGCCUGGGUCCAACAGCCAUCUGGAUGAGGUGGUGGGAGUCCUCAGCAUGGGCCAUUCAUAUUGAGAUAACACCCGGACACCCACGGCUCUCAGUAAGUGCUCACUGCUCUGCUGUAUUGGUGGUUCCUGCAGAGCUGCAGAGAGGACAGGGACUCCUCACUAUCCCAUAAGAGAAGCCAAGCCCAGAUGUGAGCUGGACGAGACAAUUUGUUCCCUGGAAGAAGGAACCUGGUCCAGUCUGUCCCCUGCCAUGUCCACAGUGCAGACUUGAGUACAUGGCUAAUCAUUGGCCAAGUGACCUUGAUGAACACGUGUUAAACAAGCAAAUUUUAUGUCUCUUAGCCUCCCUUUUCUCAUCUUGGACAUGGGGUUAAAGUCGACCUUGUGGGAUUGUUGCAAUUUAAAUGAAUGCUUAGCACAAUGCCUAGACCCUGGUGAGUACUCAGUAAAUCACUGCCAUUCCUAUUAGUGUGGUUCACAAGGGGCUCAUGAGGUUUUCCAAGCAACUGAGAGAAGUGACACAUUUGCUCGGCAGUGCUUGGCAGUGGCCCCAGGGAAAGCAAAUCAGACAGGAACCAGGAAAAACAAUCCGGAAGCUGCUGGAAGAGAAAGGAAGGUCUAGGAAGGAGGUGUGGAUCUUAGGACUUGGAACAGCUACCAGAGGAACCUCAGUAGUAGGAGAUUCUGCUGUACUUUGCUCCACAGAGUAAGGGUAUAGUGGAUAGAAGAGGACCCCAAGCCUGAGCAGCGCUAGAAACUCCAAGGAGGACUGGAGAACACAGCUGAACCUGACCUGCGUUCCCACACCAGCGCCGGGCCUCCACAUCUGGAAGACGUAGCCAGCUCUGCAUUUCAGACAGCCCUUGUGGUGACAAAGGGUGGCUUGUCAUUUGUUUCAGGUGAUAUACUUUUAAUUAAAAUGAUAAUCAUUUGAGCAUCCCUUAAAGUUUUACUCUGGGAAUUUGCCUUCUUGCAAGCUCUGCCUUAAUUAGC
rnacentral:lncRNA from 1 species